rnacentral:misc_RNA from 1 species
CCGAGCUCCCACCCAUGGCGCCCCUCUCCCUUCUUCCCCCUACUUGGAGCUUCCCAUGGCGCCCCCUGCUCUCUCCUCUUCCUUGGCAGCCAAGUCUAGCCAUGGCCGAGUUCCCUGGGAGCACGCCGACGCCCUACUCUCCUCCAUGGCCGGCGCUCGAGCUCCACUCCUCCCCAUGGCGCCACCCCCUGCAGUUUCCCCUCUGCCUCGACGCCCCUCCCUGGGCCGACCUCGGCCUCGGCCAGGUAUAUGCCCAUGGCGCGCAUGGAGCACCUCGGUGUUUUGCCUCCAUUCCCGCCAGCAGGGAGCUCGCCGACCCAGCCCGAGUGCCGCCAUCACCUACACAUCUUCCCUCCAUACAUCACUGCCAGCAGCGAGCCCCCUUCCUCUUUUUCCCUAGUGCGGCAGCAAGGGGCCCCUGCUCGGACAGCAGCCAUGGCGCCAUGAUUCUCUACGCAGCGAUGCCGGUCCAAAAACAGCAGCCCUCGCUCGCUCUGUCCUCUACUCCACAGCACCGCCAUUGUCCUUGCCUAAGCGCAGUCCAAAUCCCUGCAACAAGCCUCGCCGAGCAUUGCCCCGCAGCAGCAUGCUCCUUCGCCUCGCGCGUUGGGUGCUCGACGAAUCGCCGCAGCGAGCCAUGCCCUCCGGCUUCGUUUCGGUCUCCCGUGCGCGACGACGCGUUCGUCUUCACGCCACGUGUGCAGCAACCACGACCGAGGUUUGAUAUGGACCGAGAGAUGAUGAUCGAGCAACUGAUGUGGUGCCAACCACAAGAUGUCGUUGGUGGACGACCUGCAGAAUGAUGGACAUAACCAGUAGAUGCUCGCCAAGCGAGUACCUCCCCCAGCAAACACUACAUAAGUGUUAAAUUAAAGGUAUCUCCUUGAUUUGGUUGAUGGUGUGACUUGGCCUCCAUCCCUGCCACCAGGAUAGACGGUCGAGUGGUUUACUGCUUCCGCAGGAGAGGACCAGGAGGAGUAGCGUGGCCAGGCUUCGCCAUGUUACUUGGUUUUCUCCGUUAGUUAUUUCUGCUGCAUUAAAAUUUAUGAUUAUUAUUU